rnacentral:rRNA from 1 species
UGGGCAACCUGCCCCAGACACUGGGAUAACUCCGGGAAACCGGGGCUAAUACCGGAUACUCUCAGCCGACCGCAUGACCGGCUGAGGAAAGCUCCGGCGGUCUGGGAUGGGCCCGCGGCCUAUCAGCUUGUUGGUGGGGUAACAGCCUACCAAGGCGACGACGGGUAGCUGGUCUGAGAGGACGGCCAGCCACACUGGGACUGAGACACGGCCCAGACCUCCUACGGGAG